rnacentral:rRNA from 1 species
AUUGAACGCUGGCGGCAUGCUUUACACAUGCAAGUCGAACGGCAGCGCGGGCUUCGGCCUGGCGGCGAGUGGCGAACGGGUGAGUAAUACAUCGGAACGUGCCCAGUAGUGGGGGAUAGCUCGGCGAAAGCCGGAUUAAUACCGCAUACGACCUGAGGGUGAAAGCGGGGGAUCUUCGGACCUCGCGCUAUUGGAGCGGCCGAUGGCAGAUUAGCUAGUUGGUGGGGUAAAGGCCUACCAAGGCGACGAUCUGUAGCUGGUCUGAGAGGACGACCAGCCACACUGGGACUGAGACACGCGCCAGACUCCUACGGGAGGCAGCAGUGGGGAAUUUUGGACAAUGGGCGAAAGCCUGAUCCAGCAAUGCCGCGUGUGUGAUGAAGGCCUUCGGGUUGUAAAGCACUUUUGGCGGGAACGAAAAGGACUGUGCCAAUACCACGGUUCGAUGACGGUACCCGCAGAAUAAGCACCGGCUAACUACGUG